UGAAGAUCCCAUUGGUCUUUUACAGCAGCAUCACAGAUUCCAAGAAAAAUCUUACAACACCCCAGUACCACUACCACCUCCUGCUGCACCUGACCUCGGUACUGUAUUUGCUAGGCCAUGGAAGGCAACCCUCUAAGCCAGGUACCACCUAGCAUAGAGCAACUCCACUUUACAAUCUGGAUCACAUCAUUUCAGCUACAGAAAACUUUGAGCUGGAAAAAAACAACAACAACCCACAGUCCAUCUGAAAGCAAGCACUUCCACAUGUGGCCUGAAUAUAGGACUAGAGGCAGCAUCUUUGAUUGCUUUGGAAAGUUACUGCCCUUUCAUUUCCCUGAGAGCAGGAUCUCAUCACUCGCUUUUCAUGGGAGAAAAAAGGCUGCCAUGCCUGAAGGAGGACGAAGCUGCACUCAAAAGAGAUUGAGAUGUUCAUACAAUUAAUCAGCUACAUCUUUAUGUUGUGUAUCAUGAUGUCUAAUUUCCAGAGGAAAGAUCACUUUCAAACCACAUAAAUAAUGAUGCUUUUGGGAAAAAAGACAGCAAAAAGGAAAACCCAUCUCUCUUCAAUGUAAAGAUUUCACUAUGAACUCACGUAUUGUUUUUAUUUUACACCCACAGUCUUGAUGCUUAUUAUCUCUGAAAUCAUUUCUGUUUCCAAAAAUUAUUUGAAACACUCCUACAUCUGGGGCUUUUGAUAAACAGUCCAACCUCUACAGACAGAAACAGUUGUACAUUUGUGUGUGUGUGUGUGUGCAAACGUGCGACAUGUUUGAGAGACAGAAGGAUGAGUUUAGGGGAGAGGGAGAAAGUGAUGGCACCCUUCUGAGCUACACAGCCUGGACACCUGUGAAGACCUGAGUAGGUUUCACUGUAACACACAACGAAGUCUAUGAGCAUGAGUCUUCCCUCCAUGGAUCUCUCUUUUGAGACUGCAAGAAACUUUGGGGUAAUUUUACUCUGAUGCUAAGAAUAAAAAUCAUGAUGAAUGUUUUGAGCACUUACAAUGUUCCAGGAAAUUUUCUAAGAGCUUUAAUACACGUGAAAUCACAUAUUACUCACAAGUCAAUGAGGUUGAUACUAUUCUUAUCACAUUCUACAGAAGAAAAAAAAAAAGAAUCACAGAGAAGUAGGCUCCCAAUCACUGGCUUAUUAACAAUGAAUUAAAAUCUUGCCUGACAACCAUCAAGACUGGAGGGGCCACUUCCUACGGGAGGAGCUUUCAGUGAGAUGGAAUCUCUCUCCUCUCAACUGCCUCCAGCUUUCUCAUGGCAUUGAAGCCACUGC
ensembl:lncRNA